UGAGCAACCUGCCCUUGACUCUGGAAUAACAGUUGGAAACAGCUGCUAAUACCGGAUAUUCAUUGUCUCCUUCCUGGGGGGUGGUGGAAAGCUUCGGCGGUCAGGGAUGGGCUCGCGGCCUAUCAGCUUGUUGGUGAGGUAAUGGCUCACCAAGGCUUCGACGGGUAGCCGGCCUGAGAGGGCGACCGGCCACACUGGGACUGAGAUACGGCCCAGACUCCACGGGAGNAG
rnacentral:rRNA from 1 species